UUUCUUUAGUUUUUUAAUUCUUUUACCUCUGUUAUUGGUAAUGUGCCCCCUUUCUUUUAUUAUUUCUUUUAUCUUUUUUUUAUUAUUAUUUUAUUUUUUUAGUUUAUUUUAUUGUAUUUUUAGUUUAGGCAUAUUUGUUAAUUCAAGAAGAUAAAAUGACUCUUAAAAUUAAUCUUUCAUAAAAUACUAAAAAUCAAAGGUGUUUGAUCAACAUCAAGUAUAUUAUUUAAAAUCAUACCAAAACAUUUCCAAACCAAAAU
rnacentral:lncRNA from 1 species